rnacentral:rRNA from 2 species
GCCUGAAAACUACAAGCGUAAGCUCAAAACUCAAAGGGUCUGGCGGCACUUUAAACUAUCUAGAGGAGCCUGUCCUAUAAUCGAUAACCCCCGUUAAACCUCACCUUCUUUGGCUAUCAGCCUGUAUACCGCCGUCGUCAGCUUACCCCCUAAAGGUUUCACAAGUAAGCAAAACUGGCUUUGCCCAAAACGUCAGGUCGAGGUGCAGCUUACAAGAAGGGAAGAGAUGGGCUACAUUUCCUAGGAAAUACGAAUAGUACACUGAAAUGUGUACAUUGAAGGAGGAUUUAGAAGUAAGUAAAAAAUAGAGUGUUUUACUGAAAAAGGUCUUAAAGUGCGUAC